AUUGAACGCUGGCGGCAGGCUUAACACAUGCAAGUCGAGCGAGCGGCGGACGGGUGAGUAAUGUAUGGGAAACUGCCUGAUGGAGGGGGAUAACUACUGGAAACGGUAGCUAAUACCGCAUACCAUCAGAUGUGCCCAAAGGGGAUUAGCUAGUAGGUGGGGUAAUGGCGUAACUAGGCGACGAUCCCUAGCGGGUCGGAGAGGAUGACCAGCCACACUGGAACGGAGACACGGGCCAGACUCCUACGGGAGGCAUGAGUGGGGAAUAUUGCACAAUGGGCGCAAGCCUGAUGCAGCCAUGCCGCGUGUGUGAAGAAGGCCUUCGGGUUGUAAAGCACUUUCAGCGAGGAGGCGUUACUCGCAGAAGAAGCACCGGCUAACUCCGUGCCAGCAGCCGCGGUAAUAC
rnacentral:rRNA from 1 species